rnacentral:rRNA from 1 species
UACGUAGGUGGCAAGCGUUGUCCGGAUUUACUGGGCGUAAAGGGCGCGUAGGCGGCAUGCCAAGCGUGUGGUGAAAGCCCGGGGCUCAACCCCGGGUCGGCCGUGCGGACUGGCGUGCUCGAGCACUGUAGGGGCGGGUGGAAUUCCGGGUGUAGCGGUGGAAUGCGUAGAGAUCCGGAAGAACACCGGUGGCGAAGGCGGCUCACUGGCCCGGUACUGACGCUGAGGUGCGAAAGCGUGGGGAGCAAACAGG